rnacentral:rRNA from 1 species
GACAGAGGGUGCAAACGUUGUUCGGAAUUACUGGGCGUAAAGCGAGUGUAGGCGGUUCGGUAAGUCGGAUGUGAAAGCCCCGGGCUCAACCCGGGAAGUGCACUCGAUACUGCCGAGCUAGAGUAUCGGAGAGGUUGGUGGAAUUCUCGGUGUAGAGGUGAAAUUCGUAGAUAUCGAGAGGAACACCGGUGGCGAAGGCGGCCAACUGGACGAAUACUGACGCUGAGGAGCGAAAGCCAGGGGAGCAAACGGG